GUUCAAGGCCAAGACUGGUCUAGAUAUGAAAGACCCCCUAAGGGGGACCCUCACUCAAGCCUCGGGACAGCCGCGGACCCAAGAAGACACUGAGACCG
rnacentral:pre_miRNA from 7 species